UACAGAGGCCCCAAGCGUUAGGCGGAAUCACUGGGCUUAAAGCGUGUGUAGGCGGGAUGGUAAGUACUUUGUGAAAUCCCACGGCUCAACCGUGGAACUGCUGGGUAUACUGGUUGUCUUGAGCCAGCUAGGGCGAGCGGAACAGACGGUGGAGCGGUGAAAUGCGUAGAUAUCGUCUGGAACGCCGAAGGUGAAAACAGCUCGCUGGGGCUGCGCUGACGCUGAGACACGAAAGCCAGGGGAGCGAACGGG
rnacentral:rRNA from 1 species